rnacentral:lncRNA from 1 species
AAUCAAAUUUAAAAGUUGUUUUUCUUUUUAUAUGGCAUUAUAGUCAUUUUGAUGUGACACUGACAUCGUUCUUGUUAUGUUGUUUCCCUUUUAUAACACAAUUUGAAUAAUUUUAGGACAACUCUGUAAGAUUUGCAACAAUUGAAGGCAAAGCCAGAAAAUGUUAUUUCAAGAGUCUUAUGAUUUGCAAUCCUCACCAGAACUGUGUAAUUUUGUUGUCUCUUGUGGUACAGGCAUGAGGUGGAACGUGUAGUCCACCCUAGGAAGAGGAAGAGGAGCAAACAUUUAAACAUGCAGACACGUUAACAUUGAACUGGCUAUUUCUUUUAUUGAUAUCAACACACUUUGGCUGCCCCAACAUUCAGCGAUACUCAGGAUAGUCACAGAAUUAAAGGAGAACAGAAAGAUGGCUUCGUCUUCCCUCUAGCAUGGUUGAUAGAAAGAGGCAUUAACAAAUACAUUCUUG